AUGGAAAUACAACAGAUCCACCAAGUCUCCCCCCUUUGUGACAUCAUCGAUACUACCCAGGAGGAAAUACAACAGAUUCACCAAGUCAUCCCUCAUCCAACCAUAGAGGAGGGGCCUCUCAGACAGAGGGAGGGGACUGAUAUUGGACACGCCUCUCAGGUGGAAUCAGGUCUGGAGUGUCAGAGGGCUCAGAGCAACAGACAACCUCACAGACCAGGAGGAGCCACUUCCCUAAGGUCAAACCCAACCUGGGACGGGCUGCCAGGACCACACCAACCCAAACAGACGACCACUACACGUCGUCCAGCCAACCACCACAGACUACCACCACACUGUCAGAACCACCACAGACCACCACACACUCUCAGAACCACAGCCCAUUCAGAGAACCAGAGUAGCGCAUUCAAAACCACAGCCUGCAUUGAAUACCACCACACAAUCAGAACCACCCCAGCCCACACUAAAUUCCCCCACAAACACACUCUCAAAACAACAAUCCACACAGAGUACCACCAUACUCUCACAACCACAGCCCACCUCAAGCCUUGAGCAGCCAAGGUCCAGUUACACUCAGACCCAUAGUCCCAGAGUCACCUCUGAGGUCAUCAGGAGAGGUGGAAGGUCACGAUGGCUCAAAGGAAAAUAGUUCAUCUUUCCCUCAGUGCUGGAGGGUCCCAGUCAGGGACAUCAGACUCAGACCAGCCCAAACAGACAGGCCCCCCAACCAGGAGGGCCCGUUUACCUAAACCCAAACCCAACUUGGGUCUCACCGCCAAAGCCGCUACGCGCUCUGCAGUCCAAUUACCAGAAAGCAGGCCAAGCCCUGAAGUCCAGACACCAGAGGAAGCUGAUGAGGUUCCCAUGGAAAUACAACAGAUCCACCAAGUCUCCCCCCUUUGUGACAUCAUCGAUACGACCCAGGUAAGGCUAUUAUAAAUGUCAGCUAUUGGUUUAGCCGGUUGCAUUACCUCAGUGUGUUUUUAGUCUCUGAUCUGUGUGUGUGGUGUUUGUAUUCAUAGGAGGAAAUGGAACAGAUUCACCAAGUCAUCCCUCUUACUGAUGUCAUUGAUUCUACCCAGGUAAUUCAUUGUAUUCCUACCCGAAGAUGUCUGGUUGCGUGUAGAAAUAUGCUCCUAAGAUAUGCGUCUCAUCUGUGUGUGUCUGACAUUUAUAUUCACAGGGCGAUAUCUCUCUCUUUACGGAGGGAAGCUUUUUCUCGCAACAAAGUGAUGCUGUCUUCAUACAGCACUCAGAAACGUCUGUGUCGACUGCUCCGUUGGACCAGGCCCAGUCAGACCCGGAUGAGCCUAUAUUCAUCCUCUCCCUGACUGAAAUCCCAGUGCUCCCCGCAGGGGAGGAGAAUGGCUGCACAUCCCAGACCCUCUCUGAGCCUUUCUUUUUUCUACCAGACGCAGGCGCUCAACUGCAGCAGAGGUUAGUGCCUGUCAGUCAUCACUAACCCCUUUUCCACUCAGUCCUCCCGCCCCAAAUGCAAUUUAUCUCCCAAAUGAAUGUACAUUUUCUCCUCUCUCCUCCUCAUUCUUUCUCUCUUUCGUCCCUCUUUUGUGCACUCUGUCCCUUCACCUUGGAUAUCCUUCUCCUCUCCUUCAGCAGUGAUAUUGUUGCCCCCGGAGGUAGUUUGGAGAAAGGGAAUGCUGGUGUCCUCUGUGAAGUCCCUGAGCCUAUGUCAGUGGAUGAGGUCCUUCCUCAACCCUCAUACACCAGUAUCAAGGAAGUGGAGUCUGGCUCCACGGCGGGUCCAGUAGGUGUGUGUGCCUCGGCCAAACCCUCAGAAGACUCCAUGGCUGAUGCAGAGACUAGUGAGGACACGCAUCCUCCUUCUAAGAAGAGGAAAGCGCCAGAGAGAGCCAGGAGAGGUGGGCACAGAGUACACCGUAGUGCAUCUAAUCCAAUGUGUCGAACACUUACUCUCCAUCGUCUGUUUGUCCGUUCAUUCAUUCGAUUCCGUUCAUUCAUCUGUCCAUCCAUUUUAUUGUGUAAAAUUCUCCUAAUAUAAUUCUGUCUCUGCUUGUGCGACGUAGACAAACUGCAGGUGAGACCUAACACUGCAGUAAGGGAACAGACCAGUUGUUCGGCCCCUGCCAAGGAGGCUGUGUCACCCAUUACCCCAGACCAGACACCCUCUUUGACCACUACCACCCUAGACACUUACCACCUCCCUGCCUCCAGUCCCCUGGCCCAGCCAGGCCCCUCCGUCACGGGAACUGCAUCACAGCAGGGGACUGUGGGCUGUUUCGAUCAUACAGAGACCGAGCACACGCCGACUGGAGGGGAGGACAAUAGUUCAGGGGCGGAGUCUCAGGCUGCCCGUCAAAUUACACCGCUGGCUAUGAGUGGCCCCUUGAGCAGGUGAUUUGUCUGAAAUGCAUUCGUUCUUAUACCUGUCACUCUCUAUCUCCCCCUGUUUGUACUAUCUAUUAGUUAUGAACUCCUCAAUUAAAGAUUAAGUUGUUAGUAGCUCAAAGGACCUGCUGUUGUAUUAUAGUUAAUUGACAGGACACAUUUGAUUGUGUUCCAUUGAUUCGAUUGAUUAGGAGUGUUAAUAAUUAUUGAUUUUAAAUCUUUUGUAUGUUCCUUCCCCCCUACAGGCCUGGUAGGAGACCCAGAGGAUUCCUGUCUUUCAUGUCCAAUAAGAACGCCUCCCCUGUAGCUGCCCCCCCCCGAGGUACCAGAGCAGCCGCUCGGAGGCCCCAGGUCAACACCACCCGCCCAGGGGGGAAACGGGCUGCUCCUGCACCUUCCACCACAACCAGAACCAUGCCUUCACCUCCCAUAAUGCAUUACACCACCACCCCCACUAGGGCCACCAGAACCACCACUAAGCCAGAUUUUUCCGCCAGGGUGACUCAGGAAAAACCCUCUGAUGCCCUGGCCUUACACUCAGACCCAGAGCCCAGUACUUCCCUGUGUACUACAGCUACUGAGGUAAAGAGAUGGACAACAUCUGGUGAUACAGUAUUUUACCUAUGAACUUUGCAAAAAAAAAACAUGAACCUUCUGUUGUGGGUAUGAUCUUGUAUUUUUUGUUGUUUUAAAUGAUGAGAAACAGAACCCUCAUUGUACUCCUGUCCCUCUCUCUCUCCCUCCCCAUCUCUCUCCACCAGUCCUCUCAGGUGCCAGCCGCCCAGUCCAGUGCGUCUCCCUGUGUGGACAGCGGUUCAGCAGACGAGGAACCCAUCAACGUGUCCCAGUACUUCUUCAGUGACAUCUUCACCGAGGUCGAGGAGAAUGAGGGAUGAGAGACGGAGGAAGGGAAAGGAGAUCAAAAAGGCACUCUCUCUCUCUUUGUUUGAAUCAAACUGGAGAACAAAAUGUUAAACACUUAAGAAAACAUGUUUUUGUAUCUACCACUGAGAUUACGUUUCUGCUUGCUUAUGUUUAUGCGAACAAGGUUUCAUGCUUGCAGCGAACAGAUUUGGUCACAAGAUGGCAACAGUGAAACCAAACUAGGGAUAAUUCCUCUUCAAAUUUUGGGGGGGACCAAACUGGCGCGCCUUUAAGCUACUUUCCUAUAUUGAAUGAUUACGUUUUUUUGGCUAUUUUACCCCAAUCAUAUCAUCUAGCCUAUUGAGUAAUCUAUUCAAUCUAAUAACAUAUUUAUAUUUAUUUGGUUUGUAUUUUUUCAAACCACACCAAGCCAGACAUUCAUGAUCAUUUCCCUCUAUCUGCAAGAAGGAGAAUACUUGAAAUCAGUGUCAACUCACUCUACUACAGGGACUUUCACAUUCAAAUUUGUGUUCUUAUUUGAAAUAUUGUUUACAUAGGUAGCCAUUGUCUAAACAUGAGCAUUGUGUGUAUAUAUGUUUAUUAUAAUUUAGAUCUGAUAUAUUGGAGGGGUAUGUAUCCUUAACAUUUACUUUGGUUUUUCACUCUUCAUGCUUGAACAAGACCCAGCUUUGCAGCUUGAGGGACAGCACAGCAAUGUCUCUUUAUUUCAUGCUCCCUGAAGAUACAGGAAAUAUAAUUUCAAAUGGCGCUGGAACAGAAUCCUCUAGUUUAAUCCAUGUACAGUGACAAACUCACAGAAACAGUGCACAGAUCAUGAGUUCAAUUCCAGUUCUGAAUGAUUGAUUAUGUUCUGCAGCCACUGUUGGUUCAAACUAACAUAGCUGUUCUGUAGCUUAUGUCAAAUAUGUGAAUAAAGUUUUAUACGGUAAUGUCUACUUUAUGUUUCAUGUGUUGCGAUAACAGAU
rnacentral:lncRNA from 1 species